CCCUUAGAUGUUCUGGGCUGCACGCGCGCUACACUGAUGCGCUCAACGAGUUUACGACCUUGCCCGGAAGGGUUGGGUAAUCUUUUUAAAACGCAUCGUGAUGGGGAUAGAUUAUUGCAAUUAUUAAUCUUCAACGAGGAAUGCCUAGUAAGCGUGAUUCAUCAAAUCGCGUUGAUUACGUCCCUGCCCUUUGUACACACCGCCCGUCGCUCCUACCGAUUGAAUGUGUUGGUGAGGAGCUCGGAUUGGCAGCAGUUGGUGGUUCGCCACCGGCUAUUGCUGAGAAGUCCUCCAAACCGCCCCAUUUAGAGGAAGGAGAAGUCGUAACA
rnacentral:rRNA from 1 species